AUUCGCGGCCUAUCAGCUUGUUGGUGAGGUAAUGGCUCACCAAGGCUUCGACGGGUAGCCGGCCUGAGAGGGCGACCGGCCACACUGGGACUGAGAUACGGCCCAGACUCCUACGGGAGGCAGCAGUGGGGAAUAUUGCACAAUGGGCGCAAGCCUGAUGCAGCAACGCCGCGUGCGGGAUGACGGCCUUCGGGUUGUAAACCGCUUUCAGUGGGGACGAAGCGCAAGUGACGGUACCCACAGAAGAAGGACCGGCUAACUACGUGCCAGCAGCCGCGGUGAUACGUAGGGUCCGAGCGUUGUCCGGAAUUAUUGGGCGUAAAGGGCUUGUAGGCGGUCCGUCGCGUCAGGAGUGAAAACUCGGGGCUUAACCCCGAGCCUGCAGUGGGUACGGGCGGACUAGAGGGAUGCAGGGGAGAACGGAAUUCCUGGUGGAGCGGUGGAAUGCGCAGAUAUCAGGAGGAACACCGGUGGCGAAGGCGGUUCUCUGGGCAUCACCUGACGCUGAGAAGCGAAAGCGUGGGGAGCAAACAGGCUUAGAUACCCUGGUAGUCCACGCCGUAAACGGUGGGCGCUAGGUGUGGGACUCAUUCCACGAGUUCCGUGCCGCAGCUAACGCAUUAAGCGCCCCGCCUGGGGAGUACGGAAU
rnacentral:rRNA from 1 species